CUGCAUGGCUGUCGUCAGCUCGUGUCGUGAGAUGUCCGGUUAAGUCCGGUAACGAGCGCAACCCUUGCUGUAUGUUUACAAGUGUCAUACGGGACUGCCGGUAUCAAGCCGGAGGAAGGUGGGGAUGACGUCAAGUCAGCAUGGCCUUUAUAUCCGGGGCUACACACACGCUACAAUGGUCAGUACAAUAGGUUGCAAAGCCGCGAGGUGGAGCCAAUCCCAAAAAGCUGGCCUCAGUUCAGAUUGCAGGCUGCAACCCGCCUGCAUGAAGUUGGAGUUGCUAGUAACCGCGCGUCAGCCAUAGUGCGGUGAAUACGUUCCCGGGCCUU
rnacentral:rRNA from 1 species